UUUUUUUUUUUUUUUUUUUGUUGUUUUUUUUGUUGUUUUUUUUUUUUUUUUUUUUUGGUCCUUUUGUCUUUUCUAAGGCCGACCCGUGGCAUAUGGAAAUUCCUAGGCUGGGGGUCAAAUCGGAACUGUAGCUGCCAGCCUACACCAGAGCCACAGCAACACAGGAUCUGAGGCACAUCUGUGACCUACACCACAGUUCACAGCAACGCCAGAUCCUUAACCCACUGACCGAGGCCAGAUAUCGAACCCCAACCUAAUGGUUCCUAUCUGAUGGAUUAGCAGCUUCUUUAAUGAGGAUGGGAGUGGGAAUAGAACCUUUGGGCUACCCUUCCAAAGCUAGCUCAUAAAUGCCUAGAGAAUAAGAAUCUCUUACUUUGGAUUUUUUUUUGUCCUUUUUUCGUCAAGGCCUUUUAAUUGGCCGUGUAAUCUUUGUUUGUCUAAUCAGCCACACCCAAUCCCAACUGACACACAAGAUGAAGCCCAUCAGCCAUACCUGAACUAACUGGUAAGAUGAAGCUAAAGCCGGAUGGAUUUUUUUGUGUGUGUUGCUGGGGAUUUCUUUUUUUUUUAUUACAGUUGAUUUACAAUGUUCUAUCAAUUUCUGCUGUACAGCAAAGCACCCCAGUCAUAUACACACAGACAUUCUUUUUCUCACAUUAUCCUCUAUCAUGUUCCAUCAUAAGUGACUAGAUAUAGUUCCCUGUGCUAUACAGCAGGAUCUCAUUGCUCAUCCACUCCAAAUAUAAUAGUUUGCAUCUAUUGACCACAAACUCCCAGUCCAUCCCACUCCCUCCCCUCCUCCCCCUUGCCAACCACAAAUCUGUUCUCCAAGUUCAUGAGUUUGUUUCUUUUCUGUAGAUAGAGGUUCAUGUGUGCGAUACAUUAGAUUCCAGAUAUAAGUGAUACCAUAUGGUAUUUGUCUUUCUCUUUCUGACUUACUUCACUUAGUAUGAGAGUCUCUAGCUCCAUCCAUGUUGCUGCAAAUGGCAUUAUUUUGUUCUUUUUGUGGCUGAAUAGUAUUCCAUUGUGUAUAUAUACCACAUCUUAAUCCAUUUAUCUGUCAAUGGACAUUUAGGCUGUUUUCAUGUCUUGGGUAUUGUGAAUGGUGCUUCAGUGAACAUAGGGGUGCAUGUACCUUUUUUAAUGAUUUUAUAUCCUUUGCAUGCUUGGUGAGGUUCUGACCUCAUAGUGGGGGCUCAAACCAUAUUUGUUGACUGGUGUCCCAAAAGGUGUCAUUUACAUUGGGAGUAAGUUCUAAAUGAGUCUAGAAAGCAGUAUUAAAGAAAUUAGUUUGCCUCUAAAAGUAAAGUACUAGAGAAGGAGUACUGUGUUUUUUUCCCCAUGACUCCUAGCCAGAUAGCAAGAUAAAGAGAAAUUCCACAUGCAGCCACACUCUGAACUAGAUUAGAACUUAGAUUUUAUUUUGGGAUACAUCUGGGCCCAUUGGAAUUUUUAUUAAUUGUAUGUUUAAUCCAUUAGAGCAGUUGUUCAGCUCUGUCUACCUAAUGCCUAAUCUGGGCUUAAAUGAUAUGCCUAAAAGAAAAAGAGAAAAAAAAUUGAAAAUAUAUCUGGCUAGUGUAAAAAUGAAAUGAAAACAUUGCAGGGAGCCAAGGCUAAUGAAAAUAACCUGUAUGAUUUAAAAAAAAAAAUCACAUUAGCUUUGAAAACCCACAUCCCUUCCUUGAAUUUCUAGAGAGAAUGACUAGAUGGUGUCAACUGAAGUUUCCACAUCUUGAUCCCUGUCUAGUUUCAGCAGGUUCCAAUAACAUUUGAGACUCAUUCUCAUUUCUUAAAUAAUAAAAACUCCCCAACAGUUACAGCACCUUACUGCCAAUGUUAAUUGGAAUUCCAAUUUCAACAAUUUCUGUAGGCUUCGAGAAAAAUAUUGACUGUGUAAAGAGUAAGAGAAAUAAACUGUAGGAGACUGACAAGUUGGAUUUACAUAGAUGUUUCCCUUUCUUUGGAGGAAAGUUCUUGAGCUGAGAGAAGAAAUAGGCACCUGCAGGGGCCUAGCUUUGAACUUUCUCAGCAGACAAGCUGCACUGGCUGAUAGAGAAGAGAUCAAAGGGAGAAAGGGCCUUUGCUGCCUUGGACUUCCUGUUCCUGGGAAAAUGGAAAGAACAAUGAACUUAGAAGACCUGAGUUCAGGUUUCUCCCAGAUGUUUGACCUGGAGCAUGUGAUGUUCCCCCUCCAAACCUUGAUUUCCUCUCUG
rnacentral:lncRNA from 1 species